GAAUCAAGAUGGUUUGUUUCGCGGUUUAGCCGCUGAAUGGUGUUUCAUUCCCAUGCUAAAGUGCGAAACAACGUUGCGAAACAGAAGGCUGCUGGAUGGCUGGCGAAAGCGCGAAAUGUUAAUAUUUCAAUCAAUAAAAAAAGAAAAUUUUAACAGGAAUCGCAGGCUUUUACAUUUCUGACAGAGCCAAACAGUCUCAUGAGUUUUUUCAGGCCAAAUUUUACAUGCUAUGGAACCAUUCAAGGCACUUAGAGGUCAGAGCACUGGAGAACAUCCCAGUUAGCCCACGGCUUUACAUUUUUUGGUUUAAACUCAAUUUAAUUCAAUAAAUUAAUUUCAUUUACUUCAAUCAGAUUCUAAACACAUUGUUACAUUUAAAAUGCUAGUUUUUUAUUCCCCAUCGUGUUUAGUUUCCUAUUAGCCAAUACAAGUUAACAAUUCGUCGCGAA